rnacentral:rRNA from 1 species
CCCUUAGAUGUUCUGGGCCUCACGCGCGCUACACUGAUGCAUUCAACGAGUUUUUCCUGGUCCGAGAGGAAUGGGUAACCUUUUGAAAGUGCAUCGUGCUAGGGAUAGACUAUUGCAAUUAUUGGUCUUCGACGAGGAAUUCCUAGUAGACGUAGUUCAUCAGACUGCAUCGAUUACGUCCCUGCCCUUUGUACACACCGCCCGUCGCUCCUACCGAUUGGAUGAUCCGGUGAGAUAUUCGGACCUUCGCUUCGUCGAUUUUCGGCUUUGUGAGGGAAAGUCUCGCGAACCUUAUCAUCUAGAGGAAGGAGAAGUCGUAACA